GUAGGGUGCAAGCGUUAUCCGGAUUUACUGGGUGUAAAGGGAGCGCAGGCGGACCGGCAAGUUGGGAGUGAAAUCCAUGGGCUCAACCCGUGAAUUGCUUUCAAAACUGCUGGCCUUGAGUAGUGCAGAGGUAGGUGGAAUUCCCGGUGUAGCGGUGGAAUGCGUAGAUAUCGGGAGGAACACCAGUGGCGAAGGCGGCUUACUGGACGAUGACUGACGUUGAGGCUCGAAAGCGUGGGGAGCAAACAGGAUUAGAUACCCUGGUAGUCCACGCCGUAAACGAUGACUACUAGGUGUCGGGUGGCAGAGCCAUUCGGUGCCGCAGCAAACGCAAUAAGUAGUCCACCUGGGGAGUACGUUCGCAAGAAUGAAACUCAA
rnacentral:rRNA from 1 species